UACGAAGGGUGCAAGCGUUACUCGGAAUUACUGGGCGUAAAGGGUGCGUAGGUGGUCGUUUAAGUCCGUUGUGAAAUCCCUGGGCUCAACCUGGGAAUGGCAGUGGAUACUGGACGGCUAGAAUGCGGUAGAGGGUAGUGGAAUUCCCGGUGUAGCAGUGAAAUGCGUAGAGAUGCGGAGGAACACCGAUGGCGAAGGCAGCCCCCUGGGCUGACACUGACGCUCAGGCACGAAAGCGUGGGGAGCAAACAGG
rnacentral:rRNA from 1 species